CGCUGCACAGUGAGGACAAGCUGAUUUCCUGAGGCAUCGAUGAGGCUCAUGGCACUGGCAUGGGAGAGGUUGGUGCAAGAGACCCCAUUGAUUGCCAAGAGCUGGUCCCUCUCUCGGAGUCCUGCUCUGCCAGCCUGGCUCCGUCUUCGAAUCUGAGAUGUUGAAGGAGACACUGUAGACUGAGGAGGAGGAGAAGGAGGAGGAGGAGGAAAAAGCCCAUCAUCAACACACACAUCAAACUCAACUUCAGAGAAAUUAGGAAGCUGGGAAGCCAUGUAAACCAAAAGCAGGAGACACCAGCAGAACCAACGCAGGAAGCCAGGGAAGUGCAGAAGAACAGGGCAGGGGGCAACCCAGGGGGGAAUCUUCACUGUUGCCAGCAACACACACUCCCAGCAGGAGAGGACCCUCAGAGUGAGAACGCAGAGCUGGAGAAGUGAAGAAGGAGCAGGUGGUGCCCGGGGAAGUCCAGGGGUGUGGGAUCUGAGAGCACCCCUUCCCAAGAGAGGAAGGAACACUUGGGAAGGCAGGGCUGAGUCCCUGGAGGCUGUAUCCGGGAAAGGAGGAUGGCAGUAGAAUCUUCCUGAAGCCGAGUGGGUUCUGAGAGGCAGAGGGGCAGUGGUACAGAGGUGAGGCUGACACUUCUGUGCAGGAAGGGCAGGCUCCUGAGGAAGGGAGCCCCGAAUGCUCUCCACUAGAUUCCCAGGGAGCCCCACUCCCUCCACAGGGACCUCGCGCUGACAUCUGGGAAAUGCCAUUCAUACUGGAACCUCCGACACACUGCCAUGAAUGUGAGGGUUUCGUGACUGAUGGGGCCAGGCGCAGUGGCUCACGCCUGUAAUCCUAG
rnacentral:lncRNA from 1 species